GACGAACGCUGGCGGCGUGCUUAACACAUGCAAGUCGAACGGAAAGGCCCUGCUUUUGUGGGGGGCUCGAGUGGCGAACGGGUGAGUAACACGUGAGUAACCUGCCCUUGACUUUGGGAUAACGUCAGGAAACUGGUGCUAAUACCGGAUAGGAGCUCCUGCUGCAUGGUGGGGGUCGGAAAGUUUCGGCGGGUGGGGAUGGACUCGCGGCUUAUCAGCUUGUUGGUGGGGUAGUGGCUUACCAGGGCUUUGACGGGUAGCCGGCCUGAGAGGGUGACCGGCCACAUUGGGACUGCGAUACGGCCCAGACUCCUACGGGAGGCAGCAGUGGGGAAUAUUGCACAAUGGGCGGAAGCCUGAUGCAGCAACGCCGCGUGCGGGAUGACGGCCUUCGGGUUGUAAACCGCUUUCGCCUGUGACGAAGCGUGAGUGACGGUAAUGGGUAAAGAAGCACCGGCUAACUACGUG
rnacentral:rRNA from 1 species